rnacentral:rRNA from 1 species
UACAGAGGGUGCGAGCGUUGUCCGGAAUCAUUGGGCGUAAAGAGCGUGUAGGCGGCCAGGUAGGUCGGUUGUGAAAACUGGAGGCUCAACCUUCAGAGGUCGACCGAAACCAUCUGGCUAGAGUCCGGGAGAGGAGAGUGGAAUUCCUGGUGUAGCGGUGAAAUGCGCAGAUAUCAGGAAGAACACCCGUGGCGAAGGCGGCUCUCUGGGACGGUACUGACGCUGAGACGCGAAAGCGUGGGGAGCGAACAGG